rnacentral:lncRNA from 1 species
CUAUAACCAACAAAAAUUUAAUAAUUAAGAAACUGACGCCUAACAAAAAAAGGUACUAAUAUUUUCUAUAUCUUUUGUAUUAAUUCCAAUUAUGCCCUCUGUGAAUAACACGCUCUACGCCCAUCUCUUUUUUCUCUUCUCAUCAUUUUUUUUUCACAAUCUCUUUCCUUGCGUUGACUUGAGUUCAACAUCAACUCCUUCCUUCUUCAUUUCUCCGUCUCUCUGUCAUUUGUUACUCUCACUCUCUCCGUCGCGUCUCCUUUAUUCUCUCCUUCUCACAAGCACCAUAAGAACUCCCAUAAUCCCAUUCGAUCCAUCUAAUUCAGCGUCUGAACCAGAUCUUUCUGAUUCGAAUCGACAAGCAUCGAUUUUGAAUCAUGACCUUUGUUGUUGGGUUCUUUAUUUAACAAUUGAAUGGUAUUUCUUCUUCAAUUUGGGUUCGGGUAAAGGAUGUGUGGCGACAAUUUUGGGUUUUAAUCUUUAUAAGUACAAUUUUGGAUCCCAUGAUUUUUUUGCAUUUGGUGAUUACAAUAGAAAAUGGUUUAAUUUAGAAGCUUUGGUUCCAUGGAACUCCUUAAUAGGAUGCGAUUACACCUAGAGCCGUCCAUGAGAAUUUGAAGGCCACAAGCAACAAAAAAUAAUUUUAGGCCUAUUAUUUGUAAGAAAAGAUUAUAAAUGAGAAAAGCAAAGACUUGUCACCUGCACAUGUUAUGACACAUUCCAAACCACUAGACUACUUGAACAUUAUUGUUAAAAAUGGGGCCGAUUAUAUAUAUAGGAGAUUUGGGGCCGCAAGCACAUGCUUGCCUUGCUUGGCCUCAUGGCCGGCUCUGAUUACACCUAUUACUAUACUGUUUAAUUAAAUUCUAUAGUAUAUGUAGUUUAACUCUUUGUUGGUAGUUUAUGUAUAGUACAACAACAGCAACUUAAACACAUGACUGUUUUGUCUUGUUUAGUGAUUAGGUGUUUGAACUAUGAGCAAUGUUUCGACUAUUGAAGGUGUUUAAAUUGGUU